rnacentral:lncRNA from 1 species
AUGAGAGAAAAGUUCCGGAAUGUUCUGGGAAUGAAAAGGUUCCGGAAUGUUCCGGGAGUGAAAAAUUCUGGAAGGUCAAAAAGUUCUGGAAUGUUCUGUGAGAGAAAAAAAAUUCCGGAAUGUUCCAGGAAAGUUCUGGAAUAUUCCAGGAGAGAAUUCCUGGUGGGAAAAGGACCCGGAGCGUUCCCGGAUGUGUUGGAUUUGUUUCCCUGGAUGUGCCCCAGCCCCAAAUUCUGGGAAUUCCAGGAAUUCCACUGCCCUAAAUUCCAGGAAUUCCCAAAAUUCCGGGAAUUCUGCUGCCCCAAAUACCGGGAAUUCCGGGAAUUCCACAGCCAGCCUGUCUGGAAUUUUGUGGAGGCCUUUUUUUUUUUGGGAAUUCCUGGAAAAAAACAGAAUUUCCUUGGAUUAUUUUGGGAAUUUCCUUGGAUUUUUUGGGAAUUCUCAGGGAAAAGAGGGAAAUUUGUGGAGGUGGUUUUUUUGGGAAUUCCUGGGGGAAAAGGGAAUUUCUUUGGAUUUGUCUUGGGAAUUCCUGGAAAAAUGGAAUUUCCUUGGAUUUUUUGGGAAUUCCUAGGGAAAAAGAACGAAUUCCACUGGAUUUUUUGGGAAUUGCUGGGGAAAAAAAAGGGAAUUUCCUUGGAUUUUUGGGGAAUUUUUCCUACCACACCUCCCGGCGUUCUUCUCUUCCCGCGUGGAUUUUUGGGAAUUUCUCCCGGAUUUCCCUCGGGAAUGGGGCUGGGAUUUGUCCCGAGGUUUUCCUGUGGCCGUGGGUCCCUUUUCCUGUUCUUUUCCUGUUGUUUUCCCGUUGUUUUCCCGUUGUUUUCCCGUUGUUUUCCUGUUGUUUUCCCGUUGUUUUCCUGUUGUUUUCCCGCUGUUUUCCCACUGUUUUCCCAUUGUUUUCCCGCUGUUUUUCCCGCCCCUCUCGGAGCGUUCGGUGCCGUUGUGUCCGUUGUGAAACGGGAGAAAUUCCCGAGGUUUUUGUGGAUUUUAAAGGACUCAUCCCGAGCUUCUCCCGACUCUUUCAUCCUCAGGAAAGCCCCAAAUUCCCAAAUUUCCGGGUUUUUUUGGGAGGUUCCGGUGCUGAGUUGGGAUUUU